UAUCUCUGUAUGGUGUAUUGAAUCUGCACCGAAUUAAGCUGCCCGUUCCUGAUGUCGGACGGUGCGUCCUAAGCAUGUCGUUUAUUGCGGGUGACAUCAGGAAAUGGAAGAUAUUUUUGCUGAUAUCCGGGUCUUGAAGAUAUAUGCCCACAAUUGUUUGCCCGUCUACGCCUGUCAAAGAUCUGCCAUACACCUGUUCCCGAAUCGCCAGCAACGUCUUCGAAGUGGCGACGUUCAGUGGGACUGUCGAAAUGGUGAGAGUCAGCAUGAGUUGUGACUUGGUUAUAUACGGGGAACUGAUUAUCCGGGUGAGUACGUUGCAUGUGACCUCCAGUUCUGCUGCUCGCAUUUAUAAUUCCGAACGGGAUUCGUGUGGAAUAGAUGCCAAGUUUGAUACGCUUGUUCCUCACAACAGCAGCAACAUCUUCGAAGUAAUGGUCCAAGUCGAAAUGGCUUUAACCAAUCAAUAAUCCAAUCAACGGUUUUUUUUGGAAAUGGGACACUCCGUUACAUUUUCUUUGUCUUCAACGGGAUACUUGCUAUAUAACAAUCAAUAGUCUCAGAGCAGGAUACCAUUGACUGGGAUAUAACUCUGAACGAAAUUCUUCAUGAGAAUUCUGUCUGGCUGAUAAUUCUUCAGAGAUGCACUUAAUAAUAAAUUAGAAUGGGAUACUCAUGCAACAACAUAUAAGUUUGCAUAUAUUGGGAUACUCGAUUCUUGCUAAUUUUCAGAAUGAGAAUUCCAUCUUGCUGCUAAAUUUUUCAGGACAGAGUAAGAUGCAUGUGAACUCAUGCGACAACAUAAAUUUGCAUACAACGUUAGACUAAUUAACUUUACUAACCAUUAGUAAUAUUAAUAGCUAAUCUAAUGGGAUGGUGGGCUAGUUCUCAAAUAUGUGGUACUGGCACAAAGCUUCAAAGCAAGCUACCUCUCCAUGUUUAUAUCAAAGUAAACACUGAUCAUUCAUAAAUCUUUUUUGUUAGAUUCAAGGUAAUCGGUUCAAUUUUUGUACUGCCAAAAGCUCUUUUUCGAGGAAGGGUCUGAUUCUCCAAUAUGGGACAAAACCAUCUAGUAUGGGAGAGCUGCUAGUUCUUGCUGAACAAAGUGUCUUACAUAUAUUAAUAAACGAGCCACAACUGACGCGUUAUGUCUACUAGGUGCUAAAUGCUUUUAUUUAAUAUGCAUUAUAAAUUUUAGGGUAGUCUUCUGUAGUUUGGCACUGCUUAAUGGGCGAUCUAAGUGAGCCUUUCUCUUGUCAUGUCAGUUGAAGUCACAAUACAUUAUAUUUAUAUGUAUCUACAGAAGACGGAUCGACAGAAUGAUGAGCUAAGAACUGAAUCAAGGUUCUCCUUUUGAGGGAUCAACUGAUAAAUUUCUUGACAAGGAUAGUGAGGUGACUUUCGAUUUUGCUCCUGUACUAAGGAGCAAAGGAGACUGAGGCUUGACAAAGAAAUGGGAAAAAGCUAAAAGAACAUACUCUGUUUUCUGAGUUCCCGCAUGUUAAUUUGACAGAAAUCAUUGCUACAUAACCAUUGUUAUGCGACUAAGUAAAGACAGAAUACCUUUACUCGCCUUUUAAACACAAUGUCACACAAACAUUUACUAGUUAUAGUAUCCAUAAAUUCGGUUUACAACAUGAGUGUGUAUACUACAACAAAAUUGAACAUUGAUGAUCUUGACGAUAUUGAGGGUCUCAUGCACCAGAAUGACCUGUAGAGUUGAGAGUACUUGUUUGUUGUACUGCUGUUUUUCAUGAUUUGAUGUUCAACCUCAAUGGUGAUAAAGCAGAAGAAACUUUGACUUAAUGUGUUAAUUUCAGUUAUUGCAGCUUAAUGUUUAAACAGCGCAUGGAAACGUGCACAAGAAAAUAAAAUAUUUGCAAUGUACCUGUUGUACAAUAUAGUGAGCGUAUGUCAUGUAGUGUAUUACGCACAAUCACAAGGCAGUGGUUUAUUGUUAUUUCAGUCGACUAUGCCAUUGCACAAAGUAUGUAAUUUUGACUUUUCUUCUGUAGUAAUAUUGUAUAGGUUUGGCAGAUUUGUACUGAAAUUACGUGAGCUGCAACAGUUGUCAGCUUCUGAAAGAGAGAUUAAAUCUAAUUUUUACAAAAUACAGAAUUCUGAUAACGCUGUCUUGUCAUAAACAGAGAGGGAUGCCUGCAAUAUGGUCAUCUUGGUGGUUGCAUUUGUGAUUAAUGUUUCAAUGUUGUCUUGUUGGUUGCAUUUGUGAUUAAUGUUUCACUGUUGUCUUGUUGGUAUGGACUACUGCUUUGUAGAUCGAGACUGUUCAUUUUGUAUUUAGCUGUGUGUUGUAUGUGUGUUAGUAUUCCCCCUGUGGGAACUGCAUUACUGUGUGAAGUUUACUUGAUUGGUCGGUUUUCUUAUUUUCAGACAAUAAAUAUGAUGAACCUUAUGUCAAGAAAAACCCUGUGGUAAUUGGUCUUAGCGUGGGAAUCCCUCUAGCUGUCAUUUUGGCUGCCUCAGGGUUGACUUAUUUGUGGUACAGGACACGUGAAAGGAGAAGACUGACACUGCUAAAAAGUGAUUGUGAUGAAAAAGAUGAUAAGUCUCUUUUAUAGAAGUUCAGAGACUCUUGCAAGUUAGUAGAAGCUGUUACUAGUAGAUCACUGUAUGUCGAUCACUAUAGCUAAAAUUGUAGAUGACUGAGAAAUUUUAUUUAGGAUAGUUUUGUCAUUGAAUUCACUUCUAUCUAGCUAUCUAACUUGAAGAAAUUAAUGAACAAUUUAGAGCA